CUGUGCGCCUCUGGGAGGGGAGGGGGCGCGCCGGGGAUGGAGUGGAAAAAAGUGGGCGAGCAGGAGCGUUGAAAAUAUCGUGACAAGAAGUUUCCGUGUGCCCGAGAGCUGUGAAUUGCUCCUAAUUACCGUGUCCGAUCGUCCUCGGCCGUGGACGCGCGUCCCUCUGUUCUUCCCGGCGGGAGUCGAGGUCUCCGCGGUCCGAGGAGCGGUUUUGGCCUGGCCUUGCACUACCUGUACUGACGUCACGGGGGAGCAGCUCGGGCUGCCAAGGAGAGUGAAAACAAAAAAUCAUUUGAAUGAGAAGUGAGCUUCCUGGUUGUUCUCCUUCCACCACCAACCUUACUUUUUCACGUUGCUCCUUCGACCCUCCCAGGAGGCAGGGGUCUGGCUCAGGCGCGGACAAACUCCGAGCGCAGAGAGGGCCCGGCCCGGCGCCCCGCGCCCCCUGACCGAGCUGCUUCCGGCCCCGGAGCCAGGGACUGGGGAGGAAGGCGCGACCGCCAGGGCCCCGCCACCAGCCGCAAAACCUCGCACCCAAGAGUGCCACGCUCCCCUGGAGGAAGCCACCCCAAAGGACGAGGCUGAAUGGGCUGAGGGGCCCAGUGACGAGGAAUCCCGGACAGCCUGCGAUAGGGACUGAGAUGGGCCGCGGGCUCCCAGGAAAUCCCGUCCUCUCUGGAGCCUGGGAAUGGCUUUGGGAGAAAAGGCUCAGCUCCAGGGAUGGUCUUCCCGCUGGAGCGAGGCUAAGGGGGUGCACUGGGGGUAAAAGGUCCGCCCGGAGAGCAGGACCCGGCUGAGUAGAUCCCUGCGACAGCGGCGCCCCGGGCGGCCGGGGGGUGGGGGGCGGCGCUGGGAGGAUCCCUUCAGCGCCGGGGAUUCGAGCGGGGGUCCUGGGCGCCUGUUCCCACAGCCUUUCCCACAAAGUUUUCAGGAAAUUAUUUUAAACUCACAACGAAAUAAAUUAAACAAAUCCGCUUCGGUUGCAGGAG
rnacentral:lncRNA from 1 species